AUUGAACGCUGGCGGCAGGCCUAACACAUGCAAGUCGAGCGGUAACAGGAAGCAUCUUCCUGCUUUGCUGGCGAGUCGCGGGCGGGUGGGCUAUGUCUGUGACACUUCGCGAUGGAUGGGGUUCGCUACUGGAAGCGGAAACCAAAACCGCCUAGCGUCGCAAGACCAAGGAGCGUGACAUUAGGGCCUCUCGGCUUCGCCUGGGUCGGAUUAGCUAGUUGGUGGGGUAAGGGCAUACCCAGGCGACGAUCCGUAACUGGUCUGAGAGGAUGAGCAGCCACACUGGAACUGAGACACGGUCCAGACUCCUACGGGAGGCAGCAGUGGGGAAUAUUGGACAAUGGGCGAAAGCCUGAUGCAGCCAUGCCGCGUGUAUGAAGAAGGUCUUCGGAUUGUAAAGCACUUUCAGCGGGGAGGAAGGGAAUAAAGUUAAUACCUUUGCUCAUUGACGUUACCCGCAGAAUAAGCACCGGCUAACUCCGUG
rnacentral:rRNA from 1 species